rfam:Candidatus Pelagibacter sp. RS40 genome.
UUGGCCAUGUUUUUGGUUGGAAUGUAGUGACUUGAUCACUAAACGCUGCCACAAAUAACCUGUCAGUUAUUUCAUCAAAAAUAAA